rnacentral:rRNA from 1 species
GCGCAGCAGGCGAGAAUAGUCUACAAUGGACGAAAGUCUGAUAGUGCGACGCCGUGUGUGCGAUUAAUUCCUUCGGGAUGUAAAGCACUUUUCUAUGAGAUAAAAGCUCUUUAGGUUAAUAGCUUAUUGAGACGGAUAUUAUUAUAGGAAUAAGCUCCGGCUAACUCCGUGCCAGCAGCCGCGGUAAUACGGAAGGAGCGAGCGUUGUCCGGAUUUACUAGGCGUAAAGGGCUAGUAGGCGACUAAUUAAGUUAUAUGUUAAAUCCCACGGCUCAACUGUGGUCCUGCAUGUAAUACUGGUUAGAUAGAGUACUGUAGAGGAAGGCAGAAUUCCUGGAGUAGCGGUGGAAUGCGCAGAUAUCAGGAAGAAUACCAAAAAGACGAAGGACAGCCUUCUGGGCAGUUACUGACGCUGAAUAGCGAAGGUGUGGUAGCGAACAGG